rnacentral:tRNA from 1 species
AGUUUUAUAUUUUAAAUAAAAAUUUUAAAUUGCAAAUUUAAAGAUAGAAAAUAAUUCUUAAAACUU